AAAAACGCACAUCCACAAAAACAAAAAUCAAACAAUCACACAUCACCGAAAUUACAAAACCACCCCUACACCCCUCAAAAUAUCUUUUCAUCAGAUUCGCGUGGCACGUUGGUUAUAUUCCCAGGGCAAAAAAGUAAAAGCCCCUCUCACCAAAAGGCCAAUACCGUCACUCAACUAAACCAACAACACGUAUCAAACACAUUCAAAACCAUACCCAAACUCCCAAUCUUUCAAAACACACACACAAAGAAAACACAAACAAUCCCAAUAGCCAAUCAAGUCAAAUCACACGGAUCGAUGACGUGGCAAAAUAUAAACGAAAUCCCGCGUAAACCCUAA